rnacentral:rRNA from 11 species
UACCAAGACCUUAAAACCCUAAAGGCACCAGAUUAGAUCUGAUCUUGGAAGCUAAGCAUGGCCAGACCUGGCUAAAACUUUCUUGGGAUGCUGUCAGUGAAUACCAGGUGCUGUAGGCU